UCCCUGGAGGACUAGUGGUUAGGCUGCAGUACUCUCACCGCUGCAGCGCGGGUUUGAUUCCCGGCCAGGGAA
rnacentral:tRNA from 1 species